AAUGAACGCUGGCGGCAUGCCUAACACAUGCAAGUCGAACGAAGGCUUCGGCCUUAGUGGCGCACGGGUGCGUAACGCGUGGGAAUCUGCCCUUGGGUUCGGAAUAACAGUUAGAAAUGACUGCUAAUACCGGAUGAUGUCGUAAGACCAAAGAUUUAUCGACCAAGGAUGAGCCCGCGUAGGAUUACCUAGUUGGUGGGGUAAAGGCCCACCAAGGCGACGAUCCUUAGCUGGUCUGGGAGGAUGAUCAGCCACACUGGGACUGAGACACGGCCCAGACUCCUACGGGAGGCAGCAGUGGGGAAUAUUGGACAAUGGGCGAAAGCCUGAUCCAGCAAUGCCGCGUGAGUGAUGAAGGCCUUAGGGUUGUAAAGCUCUUUUACCCGGGAUGAUAAUGACAGUACCGGGAGAAUAAGCUCCGGCUAACUUCGUGCCAGCCGCCGCGGUAAGAC
rnacentral:rRNA from 1 species